CAUGCAUCUGCACAGCAUUCUGUUCACAGUGAUCAUAGUUAUUCCUUUCAGUCAGGUUAGUGUUUCUCCAGUUUAGGUUUUUGGUUAGUUGCAGUCUCUGUCCCUGUUAUGUUUUGUCCACUCCCCUCUGCAUCAGCCCGAAUAAAGGCUCGCUCUCAGUUUAAGUUCACUCCCGUCUCCUCGACUGUGUUUGCGCCUGGGUCCACCACACACACUCUCCACACGGUCUGCCCCCGCUGUUCGUGACACCAGGGACGGACUGGGACUAAAAAACAGCCCUGGACUUUGACUGGGCCUGGCCCAAAGUAAUCGGCCCGCGUUUUGCAUCGUUUCUUGCCACGGUCUUUGGCUCUAUCCCAAUUCAGGGUCUGCAGCCUUAAAGGCUGCAUUUUAAGGCCGAUUACCUCACAGCGACGCGACGAAGGCUGUCCCAAUUCAAAGGCUGCUCGAAAUGCGGCCCUCAAAUGCGUCCUUCAUUUCCCUGAAUUUUAAGGAUGUGGCGGUGUAGACCUCGUGGCCCAACAUAUCCCACAAUUCAUAGCGUGGUAGUCGGUGUGGAUAAUUUUGCCGCAGACGGCAGAAGCGGUUAAAACUUAUCACACAUUUGAUUUCCAUGUGUGACAACUGCAAGUGUCCAGAGUGAGGACAGACUGAGGGACCCACUGCUGCACAUCAUCUGUGAGGCUUUGCACCCCUGAUGAUCCACCAGGACAAACUCAGCAGUGUGUGAGGAAGAGGAGGAGGAAGAGCCAGCAGCAGCUGACAGAUGGAGAGAAUAGACAGACUGUUCCCUGUUUGUGAAGGACUGCUAGAAAAGUUU
ensembl:lncRNA